rnacentral:rRNA from 1 species
GGAUUAGAUACCCUGGUAGUCCACGCCGUAAACGAUGUCUACUAGCCGUUGGGGUCCUUGAGACUUUAGUGGCGCAGUUAACGCGAUAAGUAGACCGCCUGGGGAGUACGGCCGCAAGGUUAAAACUCAAAUGAAUUGACGGGGGCCCGCACAAGCGGUGGAGCAUGUGGUUUAAUUCGAUGCAACGCGAAGAACCUUACCUGGUCUUGACAUAGUGAGAAUCCUGCAGAGAUGCGGGAGUGCCUUCGGGAAUUCACAUACAGGUGCUGCAUGGCUGUCGUCAGCUCGUGCC